GCGCCGUUAGCUCAGUUGGCAGAGCAGCUGACUUUUAAUCAGCGGGUCGCAGGUUCGAAUCCUGCACGGCGUA
rnacentral:tRNA from 1 species